UAUUAUCGGAUGAACUGCGACCAAUCCAACGGUUUGGUAGUUCCGUGUUAAGAAAAUUCCGAACAUCCAAGUGCCAACGGGGUGGUGCACCAUCCUGUUGAAAAAUGAAAGUUGGAAGAUCUUCUUUCAACUGUGGGAAAAGCCAAAACUCCAACUUAUCUAGAGUCACCUCGUGUUGCACCAUUUUCCAAGAACAACGGUCGAAAACUCGAGUCACAGAAGCAUUCUGCAAAGAAUAAACAAUGGAUCGUGAGUGUUAUUUGCGAGAUUACAGCAGCUUAAGUUAAAAAGCAGAUAUGAUGAAUCGUAUAUAUGCAAAUUAUAUAAAAGAUUAUUAUAAGAAAAGAAUUAUAUGCAAAUUAUUAUAAAAAAUAUAUAUUACAAAAUCAGUUUUUAGGUGCAAAGGUUUUUCUUUUAUAACUAUCGGACACAGAAUGUUACACGCUUGAUAACAUCGUUAACGAUGUAAAUGUUUUUAGAAUGUCUACGUAUUCUUUGAUUAUUGAACUAUACUUGGACUUAUCACAGUUCAACCAAUAUUUUAUAACAUCACGAGAUAUCGAAAAUCCGUUUUAUUACUUUAUUAUUAACAAAUUAAGGAAACCCAAUUUGUUUCGCUCUGAAAAAGUAUGCGAAUCCACGCACGCGAUUCGUGCAUUUGUGCAAUUCGUAGGAAAUCCGAAUUUGGGAAUAAGCUGUAUAUCACGUUACAAAAAUUUCGUGAAAAUUUCACAGACAAUCGUCGCAGAUUACCGUCGACGAUAAUUGAUUAAUCGAAACAACGAAUUGGGAAAAUGUCACGCAACGAAUACGGAGUACAAUUUAAUAGCAUAUUUUGUGAUAGGUGCAGUUUCGAUCACGCCAAAGAAACGUAGGAAACUCGUUCGAGCACGCUUUUAACUCUAAUACAACACGCGUUGAUGCUUCAUCUAAUUCCUGUUUUCUGUAAUGAAGUUUUAGACAAUAAAUAAACCCUCGAACCGCGGAACAAGCGUUUAAAGUAGCUCCGCAACAUUCUGUGAGUUACGUUGAUUAUAAUCGACGCAACUCCGAGCGAUCAUUACAGCGUAAUAAUUCUUCCGUAGCGCGUCUCGAUAACGUGUUACGAUGUCUGUAAUCUCUGCGUCACUAAACAAUCCCAGCGGACGCAAUUUGCAUCGAUAUUCAAGAAUAACUUAAACUAACAAGCUGUUACAUUGAUGAAACUAUUCCGAUAACGAGCCAUAAGGAAAAUGCGCAACCUAUCCUGUUAAUAUAAUGCGAUUCGCAUAAAUUUAGCCCCGUGGUCACCCCUCGGAGAUCAUCGUAAAUAUCGCGCGAUUCUAUCGCAUGCAUUUUCUAACGCUCGAGCCACGCGACGAGCAACUUUUCUAAAAUCGCGGUUAACAACCUGCGCCGUAUCGUAUUCGAGCAAGAACAAUCUCGGCGAAAUCGUUAAUUAAUUCCGGAAUACGUGUGUUUUUCUACGGGCGUUUCCAUCGGCGAUCGUUUUUCCUUUAUACAAGAUCGACGUAUCGACAGCGAUUGGCAAACACGUGUUUUAGUGAGUUUCGCCAGGCGGUGCGGCGUGUCUCCAGGAGAAGAAAAAGUUUGCUUUAUGAUGUUGUCGGUGGUAAACUAGUUUCCAAGGUGGCGAGGCAUUCGGGCCUGUUGCAUACUUAAUUUCCGCGAUACCAACUACGCUGAUCGUCGGGAACAAUCGUUGUUUUCACCUGUACACGUUACGUGAUAUCAGUUGUUCGUAACAAAUCGAUGUGGAAAAUGUUUUCGUUAAUAAUAAAAUUAUAUGAUAUAAUGAUAAAA